GGAGGGUACAGCUCAGUGGUAGAGUGCAGUGCUUAGCAUGCACGAGGUCCUGGGUUCAAGCCCCAGGACCUCUG
rfam:Camelus ferus unplaced genomic scaffold scaffold56579, whole genome shotgun sequence.